GACGAACGCUGGCGGCGUGCUUAACACAUGCAAGUCGAACGGAAAGGCCCCUUUGGGGGUACUCGAGUGGCGCACGGGUGAGUAACACGUGAGUAACCUGCCCUUGACUUCGGGAUAACUUCAGGAAACUGGGGCUAAUACCGGAUAGGAAUCCUUGCUGCAUGGUGGGGGUUGGAAGCUUCGGCGGUUUUGGAUGGACUCGCGGCUUAUCAGCUUGUUGGUGGGGUAGUGGCUUACCAAGGCUUUGACGGGUAGCCGGCCUGAGAGGGCGACCGGCCACAUUGGGACUGAGAUACGGCCCAGACUCCUACGGGAGGCAGCAGUGGGGAAUAUUGCACAAUGGGCGGAAGCCUGAUGCAGCAACGCCGCGUGCGGGAUGACGGCCUUCGGGUUGUAAACCGCUUUCAGCAGGGGCGAAGCUUGUGGUGACGGUACCUGCAGAAGAAGCACCGGCUAACUACGUG
rnacentral:rRNA from 1 species